rnacentral:rRNA from 1 species
GAUUUAUUGGGUUUAAAGGGUGCGUAGGCGGCCAUUUAAGUCAGCGGUGAAAUUUUGCAGCUUAACUGUAACAGUGCCGUUGAUACUGUUUGGCUAGGAUUUGGUUGUAGUGUGCGGAAUGUGUGGUGUAGCGGUGAAAUGCUUAGAUAUCACACAGAACACCGAUUGCGAAGGCAGCACACUAAGUCAAUAUUGACGCUGAGGCACGAAAGUGUGGGGAUCAAACAGGAUUAGAUACCCUGGUAGUCCACACUGUAAACGAUGAUAACUCGCUGCCGGCGAUACAUUGUUGGUGGCCAAGCGAAAGCAUUAAGUUAUCCACCUGGGGAGUACGACCGCAAGGUUGAAACUCAAAGGAAUUGACGGGGGCCCGCACAAGCGGAGGAACAUGUGGUUUAAUUCGAUGAUACGCGAGGAACCUUACC